rnacentral:rRNA from 1 species
AAACGUAGGAGGCGAGCGUUAUCCGGAUUUACUGGGUGUAAAGCGCGUGCAGGCGGUUCUGCAAGUGGGACGUGAAAGCGCCCGGCUCAACCGGGCGAGGACGUACCGAACUGCGGGACUAGAGGCAGGGAGAGGCGUGUGGAAUCCCGGGUGUAGUGGUGAAAUGCGUAGAGAUCCGGAGGAACACCAGUGGCGAAGGCGACACGCUGGGCCUGGCCUGACGCUCAGACGCGAAAGCAUGGGGAGC